GUAGGAGAUAUCUAUUAACUAAGAGCACGUUGUAGUCAUGCUAACACUUUCACUUUACGUCCUAUACUUUUAUCAGAGUUGUUUAGCCUUUCAGAAAUUUAUACGACUGUAGCAAAAAGAACUUCUAGUACUUUUUAUGUUGCUUUAUUUUUAUUCCUAUUAUUUCAUAUGAUAUUGUCCUCAGAUGGUUUGAUUGGAGUAAUAUGGUCAGUGAGGAUUCCUAUAGCCGAUUCCUAUAGCCGACCCCAACUUGCUUGGGACUGAGGUGUAGUUGUUGUAUUGUUGGGCAGCUGAGUAAGGUUUUUAGAGAGCAAAUUUAAGGAGAGAUUUUCACGAGGCAUGGGAGAAAAUGGAGGAAUGAGUUGCCGGAGAUUGAUCAGAGAAAAAAAAGCUAUGAACUUAAAGAAAGGAACUUCACUGACAUCCUCACCGACACAAGAUGUUUCAGGUCAGGGUUAUGUACCCAGGGUUAAUCUGAUAAACUACUCCAUUUGAGAAUUAUUAAAUUAUCGAACAUCAUAGCAUAUACAUGGAUAAUGUUAAUAUCUGCCAAACAAAUGCAAAUCUCAGGUGUUUCAUUUUGAUAAGGAAGACCAGCUCAGGUGCUUCAUUGGGUCCCAGAUUCACUUUAAAACUUAUUUGCAAUGCAAUCUUGAGAGCAAACAG